GAGUUUGAUCGUGGCUCAGAUUGAACGCUGGCGGCAGGCCUAACACAUGCAAGUCGGGCGGUAGAGAGAAGCUUGCUUCUCUUGAGAGCGGCGGACGGGUGAGUAAUGCCUAGGAAUCUGCCUGGUAGUGGGGGAUAACGCUCGGAAACGGACGCUAAUACCGCAUACGUCCUACGGGAGAAAGCAGGGACCUUCGGGCCUUGCGCUAUCAGAUGAGCCUAGGUCGGAUUAGCUAGUUGGUGAGGUAAUGGCUCACCAAGGCGACGAUCCGUAACUGGUCUGAGAGGAUGAUCAGUCACACUGGAACUGAGACACGGUCCAGACUCCUACGGGAGGCAGCAGUGGGGAAUAUUGGACAAUGGGCGAAAGCCUGAUCCAGCCAUGCCGCGUGUGUGAAGAAGGUCUUCGGAUUGUAAAGCACUUUAAGUUGGGAGGAAGGGCAGUAAAUUAAUACUUUGCUGUUUUGACGUUACCGACAG
rnacentral:rRNA from 1 species